UACGGAGGGGGCUAGCGUUGUUCGGAAUUACUGGGCGUAAAGCGUACGUAGGCGGUUUUUCAAGUCAGAGGUGAAAGCCCGGGGCUCAACUCCGGAAUUGCCUUUGAAACUGGGAGACUUGAACACGGGAGAGGUGAGUGGAAUUCCGAGUGUAGAGGUGAAAUUCGUAGAUAUUCGGAGGAACACCAGUGGCGAAGGCGGCUCACUGGACCGUAGUUGACGCUGAGGUACGAAAGCGUGGGGAGCAAACAGG
rnacentral:rRNA from 1 species